GUGCCAGCAGCCGCGGUAAUACGUAGGGUGCAGCGUAAUCGGAAUUACUGGGCGUAAAGCGUGCGCAGCGGUCCGCUAAGACAGAUGUGAAAUCCCCGGGCUUAACCUGGGAACUGCGUUUGUGACUGGCGGGCUAGAGUAUGGCAGAGGGGGGUAGAAUUCCACGUGUAGCAGUGAAAUGCGUAGAGAUGUGGAGGAAUACCGAUGGCGAAGGCAGCCCCCUGGGCCAAUACUGACGCUCAUGCACGAAAGCGUGGGGAGCAAACAGGAUUAGAUACCCUGGUAGUCC
rnacentral:rRNA from 1 species